UGCUGGAGCAAGGUCAGCUCUGGUAGGGGUGUCCAUGCCCCACAGCCAGGAGGCUGAGUGAAAGAACCUGACAUGGAGAACCUGCUAAAUCAAGCUCAGAUUCAUGAUUUACAGAAAUACCAAGUGCUUAAUGUCCAGACAAAAUUAUAAUAGUUAAGCUCACUGCUCCUACUGAAAUACUUACGUCACUGAUCUUCUCUUCUGGGUGUUCAACAACUAAAAUUUGGAGACCAAAACUAGAAAGGUAACUGGACUAUGAGGACAGCCAAUAUUUUGGCCCUGGCCCCUCAAGGUCAACAAAGAUCCAGGACACAAAGGAACCUUUCCUACAGGAUCCUACAUCUUUGAGGACUAGAGAGAGUUCAACCACCCCUCCAUCAGCCCAGUAAGGAAAUAUCACAGAAGCAUCUGGGCAGAGAAUACAGAGCAUGCUGGAAAAAGAGGACAUUUUUAGGAACACUACUUUUCAAGAUGAAAUUUAAAUUUAAGAUGGAACAAUGAGCCUGUCUGUGGCGUUUUCUUUCCACUGUAACAGGAUGCCUCUUUGACCCAGUAGGACCUGGAAUGGUGUGUAGCAACUACAAUGUGCAGCUAGCUUUUCUUUGAAGUCAACGUUUCUUCUAACAAAAUAUGGCCACUAUUCCUCCAUAAAAGAACUAAACAUCCUUCUGAAAAAUGAGUGUUGUAAAAGGGAGAUUUCACCUUCAAGACAUAGAAGAGGUUGCAUGAAAGUCAUGUCCAAUCUUCCUUGGAGACAUUUCCCAAGGGGUGGAUGAACUGAAAUGGUUUUAGGAAUUCUAAAGGCCGUUUACCCUUGGUUCCAAUUUUGCCUCCAAUCAAGGAUCACCAGCCAAAUGAGAGAAAUUAAAC
ensembl:lncRNA